AGUGAGCGCUGGCGGUAGGCCUAACACGUGCAAGUCGAACGGCAGCACAGUAAGAGCUUGCUCUUACGGGUGGCGAGUGGCGGACGGGUGAGGAAUACAUCGGAAUCUACUUUUUCGUGGGGGAUAACGUAGGGAAACUUACGCUAAUACCGCAUACGACCUACGGGUGAAAGCAGGGGAUCUUCGGACCUUGCGCGAUUGAAUGAGCCGAUGUCGGAUUAGCUAGUUGGCGGGGUAAAGGCCCACCAAGGCGACGAUCCGUAGCUGGUCUGAGAGGAUGAUCAGCCACACUGGAACUGAGACACGGUCCAGACUCCUACGGGAGGCAGCAGUGGGGAAUAUUGGACAAUGGGCGCAAGCCUGAUCCAGCCAUACCGCGUGGGUGAAGAAGGCCUUCGGGUUGUAAAGCCCUUUUGUUGGGAAAGAAAAGCAGCAGGUUAAUACCCCGCUGUUCUGACGGUACCCAAAGAAUAAGCACCGGCUAACUUCGUG
rnacentral:rRNA from 1 species